UGGGGAAUAUUGGGCAAUGGGGGAAACCCUGACCCAGCAACGCCGCGUGAGGGAAGAAGGUUUUCGGAUCGUAAACCUCUGUCCUUGGUGAAGAGAAGAAGACGGUAGCCAAGGAGGAAGCCCCGGCUAACUACGUGCCAGCAGCCGCGGUAAUACGUAGGGGGCAAGCGUUGUCCGGAAUGAUUGGGCGUAAAGGGCGCGUAGGCGGCCUGGUAAGUCUGGAGUGAAAGUCCUGCUUUUAAGGUGGGAAUUGCUUUGGAUACUGCUGGGCUUGAGUGCAGGAGAGGUAAGUGGAAUUCCCAG
rnacentral:rRNA from 1 species